ensembl:lncRNA
CUAAAAUCUUGCAACCCUCCCGAGAUGAUCCACGAAGAUGGAUGCUCAGAAAUCAAAAAGAACCUUGAGACUAGGGGGAACUAUCUCUAGUGUAUUAAAAUCGUGUCUCUGUCAAGCCUAUCUGUAUCCUAAGGGGAGGCCAGUGCCAGAAUUAAUUCAUAUCUUCUUUUUCCUUCUGCACGCAGACAAAAAUUCCUCUCGCGGGUGGUUCCUGUUCUUUCAAAGGAGCAACGCAUCAUGCAAAUAAUUUUUUUUUCAGCUGUGACGUAUACAGCCCUGAGAACACGGAGCGACUUAGCACCAGGACAUCAUGCGUUCCUCCUGCGGUUUCCUGGGUGUAGGGAGGCGGCCUGGCGAGGCCCCCCUCUGGAAGGUCAGGGAUUGAUGUUCUACCCUCGCCCACUAACCUGAGCGGGCAGGCCACACGUCCUGGGGAGCCACCUCCAUUUCUCGCAGGAAGGGAAACCUCCCCGGAAGAUUUCUUUAUCCUCAUUUCCAGGCUGGAUGGAGGCACCAGCCAUUCUCACCAGCCUCAGGAGAGACCCUUGGUGUGUCCCCAGAAGGCUUCCAGAACCCCGU